GCCGGGAGCUACCUCUCUGCAACUCUCACAUGGUCGCCCACUGAAGCUAAGCAGGGCUGCGCCCAGUCAGUACCUAGAUUGGAGACCACAUGGGAAAGCUAGGUUGCUGCCGGAA
rnacentral:rRNA from 1 species